rnacentral:tRNA from 1 species
GCGGGUAUGGCGGAAUUGGCAGACGCGCCAGAUUUAGGUUCUGGUACUUCGGUGUGCAGGUUCAACUCCUGUUACCCGCACCA